GCACAUAACGCGGUGGAAGCGCGUCCGCUUUGCAAGCGGAAGAAGCCAGGUUCAAUUCCCGUUGUGUGCA
rnacentral:tRNA from 1 species